GCGUGGGUGAAGAAGGUCUUCGGAUUGUAAAGCCCUUUCGGCGGGGACGAUGAUGACGGUACCCGCAGAAGAAGCCCCGGCUAACUUCGUGCCAGCAGCCGCGGUAAUACGAAGGGGGCUAGCGUUGCUCGGAAUGACUGGGCGUAAAGGGCGCGUAGGCGGCACCGACAGUCAGGCGUGAAAUUCCUGGGCUUAACCUGGGGGCUGCGUUUGAUACGUCGGAGCUAGAGGGUGAGAGAGGCUCGUGGAAUUCCCAGUGUAGAGGUGAAAUUCGU
rnacentral:rRNA from 1 species